AGAGGCUGUCUCCCAUGGUUCAAGCCUCCUAAGGCAAGGCAACAUCAUCUCCUCCAUGGGGAUCUUGCAGCUACAUGGCUUCUCCUGACAUCUAAUCUCAUUCCUUUCUGCUACAAAAGUAGCCCACUUCUUACCACCCCAAGGUAGGGAGUAUUUCUGUUGUUUGUGUUCAUUGACUCUUCUUUUGGGUCUCACAGGCCUCUUAGGCUCAGGAGAACACAGAGAAAUGUGGUCAGGUCUCCCCCAGAUAUCAGAAUCUACCUCCAGACACUUCUUUUUCUGGGCAUGAAAAUAGGACAGAAACCCCAAAUGUCCCUCAAUUCUAGCUGUGCAUUUCUACCCUCCACUCCUCCUUGAACUACUUGUCCUCUGCUUGUGACAUCACAAUGGUCUCUAUGGCAACUGACUGUGAGGUCACCAAUCCUUAAAGCAACAGAAUCUGUGGGGCCAGACAAUGGCCUGGAGGAGAGAGGGUGAAUACAAUGGGGGUCCAAGAGGGAACCCAUCUCCUACUGGGCAAGGGCCACCCAAGACCUAUGGGAGGGAGGAGGAUUCCUCUUUGAGCCCCUUUGCAGAGAGGGGUAAAAACAGUUUCUUGGUCUUGUCUCUACACGGACACUGAGCCCCUCCAAAAUUGCCCAUGAAGGGAGAACUUCAUAUAGUCUGACUCAGACGGGCUACGGAGAUUGAUGGGGUUGCUGAAGAGCGUCUUGGGAUCACUGACUUGGCUCUUUGGACCGCUGGGAAGUGCAGGCUGGCCAUGGGGGUCCCUGCCAGCCGCAAGCUGGAGGAGAGAGGAGAGCUUUGCAGGAACAGAGGAAGGGAUGUCUCCGGGAAGACAGCAGACCGGGCUCCCAGACGGGCCUGGAAGUCUCUCCAUCCUGGGUCUCCUUCACUGCUCUCCAAACCUCCGCCAGGAAGUCCUUAUGGUGAUUAAACCUCCACGCUCCUUG